UUCCGUAGGGUGAACCUGCGGAGGGAUCAUUSMUGGAACGCGCCCCAGGCGCACCCAGAAACCCUUUGUGAACUUAUACCUUACUGUUGCCUCGGCGCUAGCUGGUCCUCCGGGGCCCCUCACCCUCGGGUGUUGAGACAGCCCGCCGGCGGCCAACCCAACUCUUGUUUUUACACUGAAACUCUGAGAAUAAAACAUAAAUGAAUCAAAACUUUCAACAACGGAUCUCUUGGUUCUGGCAUCGAUGAAGAACGCAGCGAAAUGCGAUAAGUAAUGUGAAUUGCAGAAUUCAGUGAAUCAUCGAAUCUUUGAACGCACAUUGCGCCCUCUGGUAUUCCGGAGGGCAUGCCUGUUCGAGCGUCAUUUCAACCCUCAAGCCUGGCUUGGUGAUGGGGCACUGCCUGUAAAAGGGCAGGCCCUGAAAUUCAGUGGCGAGCUCGCCAGGACCCCGAGCGCAGUAGUUAAACCCUCGCUUUGGAAGGCCCUGGCGGUGCCCUGCCGUUAAACCCCCAACUUCUGAAAAUUUGACCUCGGAUCAGGUAGGAAWWCCCSCURAWCUYAAGCAUAUCAUAAACCGCGG
rnacentral:rRNA from 1 species